rfam:Aedes albopictus isolate Foshan contig96750, whole genome shotgun sequence.
UGUUCUGUGGCUAAGUUGGUUAAAGCGCCGGUCUUGCGAAUACAGAGUCGUGAGUUCAAAUCCCACUAGAACGC